rnacentral:rRNA from 1 species
GACGAAGGGGGCUAGCGUUGUUCGGAAUUACUGGGCGUAAAGCGCGUGUAGGCGGUUGCCAAAGUCGGGUGUGAAAGCCUUGAGCUCAACUCAAGAAUUGCACUCGAUACUUGGUGACUAGAGGACCGGAGAGGAUAGUGGAAUUCCCAGUGUAGUGGUGAAAUACGUAGAGAUUGGGGAAGAACACCCGUGGCGAAGGCGGCUUUCUGGGACGGUACUGACGCUGAGACGCGAAAAGCUAGGGGGAGCGAACAGG